rnacentral:lncRNA from 1 species
AGUCUAUAGACUGUAAUGUAUUGAAUACAAAUCUUCUAUGUAAGAGUAAUCAUAUAAGCGACUUGUAAGUAAUAAGUUGAUAGCAAUUCUAAAGAGAAUUAAAACACUUAUUGUGUAACUCAGGCGAAUUAAGGAAAUCUAGGUAGCGUAUCAGAUGAUACCAAGAUUGUCUAAUACCAAGAGUGGUGAAACUCAACCAGUCUAGGGUAACAGGAGUUAUUCGUUGAUUAGGGAUACCAAGAGUGGUGAAAAAUAAUGCACAACCAAGAGGGGGUGAAACUCAACUAGGCAGUAUAUCGGGGGAUACCAAGAGUGCCUAGGGAUAAUAGGAGUGGUGAGAAUUAUAAUCUUGUUGAAGAUUAUAGUGGAACCCUCUAAGGAUAGAGGAGACUGGAUGUAGCUUAGUUGGAGUGAAUCAGUAUAAAAAUAUUUGUGCAUUUAAUGUUUACCUCUCUUUCAACGAUUAUUUUAUAAAACAUACAGUUGCAUUUUAGUUUUGAUCACAAGAUCUUCUAACACUAAACCAUUGUUUAUUUAGAGGAAGUUCUUACAAACAC